AGGCAGGGACAAUCAGACAGGGCCAAGGGCCCGGCAAGAGACAGAGGCGGAAGGGGAGGGCAUCGUCAGUUCUUGUGCAUCCACUUCGCCUGCAGCCGCUGUGGAAAGGACGCCUCCACAGGCAGCGGCGUGUGCAACAGCAAGAAGAAAAUAGAGAACCAGACUUUACGAAAAAAGGAAUAGAGAAGACACCAAGAAAAGUGUAAACAUAGAUAUGAUGAUUGCAGUGGAAACGAAUGAUGUGCUGAUAAGAGUAUUAAGUAAUAAGAUAUAACAUUUAAAGAAAUAUAAACCAACGGACCGAAAGGAGAACAUAGUGAAAAUAUAUGUAUAUAUAUUUUUAAGUGAUCGUGUAGUGAAAAUAAAAACAAAGAAAAGGGUGAAAACAACGAAAAAAAACACACAAAAAAAUUCCCAUAUGCAACACACAGAGAGAAACGACAUUAAACGAAAAAGAAUUAAGUGAAAAGAAGAAUAAGACUAAAUAGAGGGAGAAGAAGAAGACUAAGAAGGAGGAGAAGAUAACCAAGCACAAGCAGAAGACCUAGAAGAAGAAAAGGAAAAGGAAAAGUCGAAGAAGAAGAGGAAGAAGAAGAAUACGAGCAAGAAGGAAAAGAAGAGGGAGGAGGAGGAGGAGGACCCCUGAGGAACCCCUGAGGAUUCCCUGAGCACCACCUGAGGGCGCCCUGACGACCCUCGAGGCCCCCUUGCACGUGGACAGCGCCGCCGUGUCUUCGUGGACGCCUCCGCCGCUGCCGCCGUCGCACCCCCCUCGCCCCACCUCCUUCAGGAUGUCGACGCCGGGCGAGCGCCUCCUGUCGCAGAUCCACGCCAUGCAGGUGCAAGUGACCCAGCUCCGCCACGAGGCCAGCAUCAAGCGCAUCCCGGUCAGCCAGGCGUGCCAUGACCUGAUGAAGUACUGCGAGGAGACGCAGCAGGAGGACGUCCUCGUCACCGGGAUCACGCAGUCCGACAACCCCUUCAAGGAGAACAAAGCGUGCACCAUCUUGUGAUGCAGGCCAAACCGCACUAAAGCGGCGAAGGUGUGAAGGCGAGAACAGAAGAAGAUAUCCUGCUGAUUCAUAUUUCAAAGAACACAAGAAAGAAAAAUAUUCGUCGCCUUCCACUAACUGCUUUUUCUUCUCGGAUUAUCUUAGAUUUAACUUUUGGCUUAUUUUUUUUCUUAUCGGUCAAAGCUUAAUUUGAUUUUUCAUUGUUAUUAAUAUUACGUGACUUGUAUAUCCUUAUUUAUUGACGGUCAUUGUUAGUUUCGUUUUUAUUUUUCUCUUGUGAAUUUGUUUUUAAAAAAUCUGAAAGACACAAAUAAUCCAAGCGGAAGUUAUUGUAAAAGUCAUAGAUAAUUUUAUUAAGGGAAAAUUAAUUCCUUUUUUAUCUCAUAGGAUGAUGUGGGAAGCCUUUCACGUUUGCUUGUUGUUUGUUUCUCUCUCCACUUCGUUCAAAGCUCACUGACAAGGUUGUAUGAUACGCGGAGCUUCUGUGGAGGCCCUGGGCGUGGGUGUGUACGUGGAUUUGUGUGGACGUCGAUCUGUGUGGACGUAAAUUUGUGUGGAUGUGAAUUUGUGUGGACGUAAAUUUGUGUGGACGUUGAUUUGCGUGGACGUGGAUUUGUGUGGACGUGGAUUUGCGUGGACGUGUUUAUGUAUGCGUGCGUAUGCUCAUGCUAUAAGAAUCCCUUUUGUGGGAAGGCCUAUGCAUAAACCCCCCCUCCCCUCUCCCCGUCUCCCUCUCGAAGGCCCCCUCUUGCCCUGGCCUUCUGAAGGAAAAGAUCGAGAUACCCCAUCCCUCCCUCCCUCCCUCUACAGCAAGAGGUCAAUAUUCCUUGCCUCGUUCUGAAGCAAGAGGUCAAAGCCAUCCCUUCUGAAUCAAGAGGUUCAGCCACUUCAGAAGCGAGGUAAAGGAAAAAAUGAAGAAAUAAGUCAAAGUCCCUCUCCCUUCUGACGCAAGCGGUCAAAGGUAACCUCCCUCCUUCACAGGCAAGGUCAAUCCCCCCUUUCCAACGUUCUGCAGCAAGAGGUCAAAGUCCCGCAACUUCAGAAGCGAGGUCAAAAUCCCCUCAGAAGUUCCGAGUUCAAAGUCCCCUUGAAAGAGGUCAAAUCCCGCCCCUCUCCCCUUCAAGCCACAAAGGCCGCACUUGAGAAGCGAGGUCAAGUCCGCAACUUAUAGCGAGGCCAACCCGCACGUUUCAGAGCAGUUACAACAAAUGCCCUCAGGAAUUCCUUCUCUCCUUCUUAUGUCAUCUCCUCUUCUUGUCCUCCUCUCUUUCUGGUUAGAUUUAUCCCCUUCCCUUGCUUCCUUUACCAUUGCUUCUCUCUUUGGCCCUCUGGUUUCAUUCGCGCGCUCCUGAUCUUCUCUCUUUCCUCCUGAUCUCCUUUGUCCUUUUCUCUAUAUUUCCAUCCUUCUUCUCUUUUGGCUUUGCCUCUUUCUUCCUUCCUUUAUCUCCGCUUCGUCUCAUAUUCUCUCGUCCUUUGUCUUCUUCUCGGCUCCAGUCUUCUUUCUUAUUUCAUACAUCUUCUUCUCUUGGGUCGUCUUCCUCCUCUUCGUAUUUGUAUUUCUCUAGUUUUUCUUCCUUCCCCGCUUCGUACCCUUUGCUGUUUUUCCGCGUUUGUCUCUUCUCGUCUUUAUUCCACUUCCUUAUCACGAGUUUCUUUUUCUCUCUUCUCUCUAUCCACACUUGCCUCGUCUCUUUCUUCGUUUUCUGUUUCUCCUUCGCCUCUCUCCCCUCCAUUUUCAUCCCUUCUCUUCUUCUUCUCUUCGCUCUUUUCCCCCUCUUCUGCAUACUUUUCUUUCUUUUGUUCUUUCUCCCUUUGUGUAUAUUUUCGCGUAAAUUUACAAAAUCAAUCGCGGGCGGACCAUAAAAAGUGUUUCCAAAUUUACGUGUUCAUGUAAAUUUUAAAUAUUUUGCGUAUUUGUGUGUGUGUGUGUGUGUGUGUAUGUGUGUGUGUGUGUGUGUGUGUGUGUGUGUGUUGUGUGUGUGUGUGUGUGUGUGUGUGUGUGUGUGUGUGUGUGUUGUGUGUGUGUGUGUGUGUGUGUGUGUGUGUGUGUGUGUGUGUGUGUGUGUGUGUGUGUGUGUGUGUGUGUGUGUGUGUGUGUGUGUGUGUGUGUGUGUGUGUCUGUCUGUGUGUUGUGUGUUGCACCUUUCCUUCCUAAAUUAUUUGUAUAAUUACUAAGAGUUAGCUUAAUGCAGUUUACAAGGUCGCUCUGUUAUGACGUGGAGGAGGAAGACAUGACAGGAGGGAAAAGGGGAGGAAGGAUGAAGAGAAAAUAGAAGAGAAAAGAGAAGAGGAGAGGAGAGGAGAGGAGAGGAGAGGAGAGGAGAGGAGAGGAGAGGAGAGGAGACGAGAGGAGAGAAGAGAAGAGAGGAGAGGAUGAAAAAAUAGAAAGAAAACGAGAGAUUAGUGGAAGAGAGAAGAGGGGAAGUAGGAGAGAAGAAGAUUGGAUUUCCACGCCCUUGUCGAAUUUUAACGAAGGAGGGAAUAAGAGAAGAGAAGCGGAAGAGGAAGAGAAGACGAAAAAAAUAUAUAUACAUAUACUACAGCAGUAAGUUCCGCAAUAAAAUCACGAAAAAUAUAAAAAAGAAAAGAAAAACAGAGCAUUCAGACAAUUAAAUAUUGCAAAGCAAGUGUUGCAAUGGCCAUUACAUACCAUCUGCGCAUUAAAUAAAUUUGUAUAAUGAUAAUGAGAAAUAUAAAGGAUGUGAUGAUGAAAAAGUCAGUGACCGAGGAAUAGCAAUCGUUAUCACAAUAUCUCUUACUUUUCAUAAUGCCAUAAGCGAUUAGGGGUUAGAAGUGCAGUAACAAAUAGAAAAAUAAAGAUGCCACGAGUGUUGCAUUUUAGUUAUGUGAUUAAUAACUGCAUUCAUGUCGGUAACACACAAAAAAAAAACUAUCGAGAAAAGUUAGGUACUGAUUGAUAUAUACAAUAGUAUACAUUAUAUAUUCAAAAAUUAUCAACGGUUCUCGUCUCAGGUUCUGGAAAACGUGUUCUUGCCAAACGAUAUUUUUUUAACACUUUCUCAUGCCACACUUUCUUUAAAUUAUUCGAAUGCCAUGGAUGAAAAUAACAACCAUGAGACUAGCAGGGAAUGUUACGAAAAAAAAGUGAAAAAAAA